rnacentral:rRNA from 1 species
AGUAACACGUGGAUAAUCUGCCCUGCACAGGGGGACAACAGCUAGAAAUGGCUGCUAAUACCGCAUAAGCCUACAGCCUCGCAUGAGGGAGUAGGAAAAGAAAUUCGGUGCAGGAUGAAUCCGCGUCUGAUUAGCUAGUUGGAGGGGUAAAAGCCCACCAAGGCAACGAUCAGUAGCCGGCCUGAGAGGGCGACCGGCCACAUUGGGACUGAGACACGGCCCAAACUCCUACGGGAGGCAGCAG